rnacentral:rRNA from 1 species
AAGGAACGUUAAAGACGAUGACGUUGAUAGGCCGGGUGUGUAAGCGCAGCGAUGCGUUGAGCUAACCGGUACUAAUGAACCGUGAGGCUUAACCUUACAACGCCGAAG